rnacentral:rRNA from 1 species
AAAAAACUCAGUCAACCUUCCUCAGUCCCCUCACAUUUCUUAUCUUCCCCAUUCUUCCCUUCCUACCUCCUCCUCUGUUGCCACACGCUAGGUCCCCCAUCCACAGCCGGCACUCUCUGGUGGGCGCCCCUCCCAUUCGUCACCAUUGUCGGCGGACACAUAGGCCCAUGCUCUUCCCUGCCCCGCCCCUUCUUCAUAUCCGAUCCCCGAAGUGCUCGAGGAGGCGCUCGAGCUCGGCAUGCUCGCCGGCGACACCGGGGUCCUCCCUCCUCCUGAUGCACUCUCCGUCGCCGCCAUGAGCGUCUCCACCUUCUCCCGCGCGCCGUGAAUCCUCCCUCCCCCCUGCUCGAGACGCCAUCAAGUCUGGAGCAGGAGCAGCUGCUGCUCGCGACCUCUAGUUCCUUCUUUCCAUGGAUGUGCUGCUGCUCGGGGCCCUCCCUAUGCUUCUCCUCGCUCGUACGGGUCCAGGGUUAGCUGCUCAGGGGACAUGGUGUGUUCCGUUUGGCGCUGCCUUCGCGGCCGCCGCCGUUGUUGUGUCUCGUGUGUCGCGGCAGCCAAUGGGUCGGGAAGGUCUGAGACUGGAGGUCCCUGCUCGCCAACUCACAGACAGUUGUUCUCCGACCAGUUAAAAAUGAAUUUUUUGAAGGAGAAGGAGGUGCCGAAAGGGGAUGGGAGCAACAAGUCUGAAUCGAAGAGUCAAAGAAGUCGAACCUGAAGAAGUGCAGGGAAGAAUUAUGGUUGCGUGUGGCUGACUGGUUCAGGGGAAUUUCAGGGCGGGCGCGGCGGCACGGGUGCCGGAGCAGGCUCCUAGGCACUGGCGAUCUGUCGGACGGAUAUUAGAAACGAAGGUGAAGGAGGAGCGGCCGCCCACUCGACGGUGCGGUGUAGGGCGGCGAGGGAGGCCGGCAGGGAGGCCUCGAUGCGGUGCAGGACGGCGAGGGAACCGUCCAGCGAGGCGACGAUGCGAUGCAGGGAUCCAGGCCGCCGUGCAGGGAGGCGACAUGACUGCUGAGCUUCGUCUGGGGCGGUGGCGAGGAAAGGCAGGGAGUGGGGCCAGGGACACGAUUAGGUCCGAUUUCCUUUUUUUGCGAGUUGGUUAGAUGGUUAGAUUAGCGUGAUUUGAGGGGCUGCGGAUGCGGGACGGAGAGUUUCAUAUUUUCCUCUUGUGGAGUAUGGUCAGUCUAUUGAAACUGCUAAGCGCACACCAGAUCUUGAAUAAAUUAAUGAUGACUGUUGGAUUGGGUCGUGUGGGCUUCAUCCUGUGGUGCUGAUGUAUCUGUGUACGUUUUGCG